rnacentral:rRNA from 1 species
UACGUAGGGGGCAAGCGUUGUCCGGAAUCAUUGGGCGUAAAGCGCGUGUAGGCGGCCCGAUAAGUCCGCUGUGAAAGUCCAGGGCUCAACCCUGGAAUGCCGGUGGAUACUGUCGGGCUCGAGUCCGGAAGAGGCGAGUGGGAAUUCCAACGUGUAGCGGUGAAAUGCGUAGAGAUGUGGAGGAACACCAGUGGCGAAGGCGACUCUCUGGUCUGUAACUGACGCUGAGGAGCGAAAGCGUGGGGAGCGAACAGG